UACGUAGGGUGCGAGCGUUGUCCGGAAUUAUUGGGCGUAAAGAGCUCGUAGGCGGUGUGUCACGUCGGCCGUGAAAACCUGCAGCUUAACUGUGGGCGUGCGGUCGAUACGGGCAUCACUGGAGUUCGGCAGGGGAGACUGGAAUUCCUGGUGUAGCGGUGAAAUGCGUAGAUAUCGAGAGGAACACCUGCGGCGAAGGCGGGUUGCUGGGCCGACACUGACGCUGAUGCGCGAAAGCCAGGGGAGCGAACGGG
rnacentral:rRNA from 1 species